GGAGUGCUGCCAGUGUAAAGCUGCAUUUGACGCCGUGUCCCCGUGGUACUGGAAUACCGUGUGUGCUUGUGCCAAAGCAGCAGAAGUGCCCAGUCAGGAACACUCUGAGGCACUUAAAUCCUGCCCUAUCAAAUCUGGAUGAACUGCAGGAACUUUUCAGAAGUGUAAAUACUGAGCUUUUAAAAGUAUUAAUUUCUCUCUCCUCUAAGGCAACACACAAACCAAACACAUUCACAAGCUCUGACUUCAGGAUUUCCAAUAUUUUUCAAAUGUGACUGAUUUCAGGUUGACCCAUUGCAUCAUUUGAGGCAGUUGCAUUCCUCUACAUGGAAAAAAAAGUUCAGUUGUAGCAAACAAAUUUUCACUUAUUCAUCCCUAUCUUCUUCCUCUGUACAGCUGGAAUCAGGUGUAUUGCUGUAAACCUGCAAAAACCUUUGAUGGAUCCCUCUGACUUUUCCAUAGAAUUCAGCCUUAUUUUCUCCCUCUCAUCUUAAUGUUUACUGCAGCAGAAUUAUCCCAGUUGUAUACCAAGACUUUGACAGUUCUCUGUGGUAUUUAAAUCCGCAUGCUAAAAGCAGAUCUUACUUUCUAGUAUCAUUAAAUACCACAGUUAUUUAAUGGGAGUAACUAGGAUAUGUCUGGAGACUGAAGAUCCUGUUCCAGUGAAGGCUGGUACUGAUGCCUACACUAAGGGCUCUUGAUCCAGCAUGUUUGAGGAUUCAGCAUUUGGCUGAUUUGUCCAAGUGUGUCAGUGGAUUGUGUGCCUUGGAGAAGGCUGGAAAUCCAGGAGCAGGUGUGUAUCUCCAUGCACGGGUAUAUUCGCACACAGAUACGGGCACAGAAGGGCUGGGACAUUUGUUUUUAUACAUUAAUGGCAGAUUUGGUACAAAUUGCCACUCACUAUUGUAUUUGUGGGAAUCUUUUUUUUGUUACAUCUUGUUUAUUUUAAAUAAAGAACAAAGGAUGGAAAAAAGGCCCAAAAUGCCUACGUGACUAAAGAUUUUUAUUUUAUACCGAAACAGUUUAUAGAUGAUCAGCUCCUUUUGAUUUGUUUUUGAAUAUAUAAUAUUUUUUUAAAUAUAAUUUGUUCUUUUUUUUUUUCAGUUUCUAUUUCUUAGGCAUAAACCACUUGUUGAUUUAGCACAGUGUGCUGCUCUGUGCAGUAGGUAGUUACAAGCUGAAAUAGAUAUGAAUGAAACAGUUUGUUAUAAAAAUGGCAAGAUAAAGAGACUUAUUUGGUAGUGUAUUAGCAUAUGUUGUGGUAAGGUGUGCGUACUUUGAAGGCAGGAGGCAUUAAAAUGUUUUCCUGUUGCCAAAGAAGCAUUUGUUCCCUCUGCAGGCUUCCUGGCAUCUUUUCAAUAAAUAGAGUAUCUUAAGAGUUUAAAAGAGCA
rnacentral:lncRNA from 1 species